CUGGGAACUGCAUUUCAAACUGGCAGACUAGAGUGUGAGAGAGGGGGGUGGAAUUUCAGGUGUAGCGGUGAAAUGCGUAGAGAUCUGAAGGAAUACCGAUGGCGAAGGCAGCUCCCUGGGUCAAUACUGACGCUGAUGUACGAAAGCGUGGGGAGCAAACAGGAUUAGAUACCCUGGUAGUCCACGCCGUAAACGAUGACUACUAGACGUUGGGAACCUUGGUGCUGUGUUACAAACCUAACGGAUUAAGUAUACCGCCUGGGGAGUACGGCCGCAAGGUUAAAACUCAAAUGAAU
rnacentral:rRNA from 1 species